UAGCUAAGCCUCCCUUUACCUCCUAAGC
rnacentral:piRNA from 1 species